UACAGAGGGUGCAAGCGUUAAUCGGAAUUACUGGGCGUAAAGCGUGCGUAGACGGUUAUUUAAGUCAGGUGUGAAAGCCCCGGGCUCAACCUGGGAAUUGCAUUUGAGACUGAGGAUCUUGAGUCCGGGAGAGGUGAGUGGAACUGCGAGUGUAGAGGUGAAAUUCGUAGAUAUUCGCAAGAACACCAGUGGCGAAGGCGGCUCACUGGCCCGGUACUGACGCUGAGGCACGAAAGCGUGGGGAGCAAACAGG
rnacentral:rRNA from 1 species